ACCAACAAAAAUGACUUUCAUCCCCAUAUUGAUCUGGACGCUGGCAGCAUUAUGUCGAGAAUCUAUUGGGCAGGUGACAGUGACUCAAACUCCCUCAGUGCUGCUCGCUCAGACUGGACGAUCAGUCACUGUAACCUGUACAUUUAGCAGAAAUCCAGACUGCUGUUAUAAUGGAAAACCUGCUCUUAGCUGGUACUUACAGAAACCUGGAGAAGCUCCUAAACUCCUGAUUUAUUAUACAAGCACACUCCAGUCAGGAACUGCAUCUAGAUUCAGUGGCAGUGGAUCUAACAGUGAUUUCACUCUGACCAUCAGUGGAGUCCAGACUGAAGAUGCUGGACAUUAUUACUGUCAGAGUUACCACAGUGGUGGUGUGUUCACACAGUGA